rnacentral:rRNA from 1 species
GACGUAGGGCGCGAGCGUUGUCCGGAUUUAUUGGGCGUAAAGAGCUCGUAGGCGGCUUGUCGCGUCGACUGUGAAAACCCACGGCUUAACUGUGGGCUUGCAGUCGAUACGGGCAGGCUAGAGUUCGGUAGGGGAGACUGGAAUUCCUGGUGUAGCGGUGAAAUGCGCAGAGAUCGGGAGGAACACCCGUAGCGAAGGCGGCACUCUGGGCCGGUACUGACGCUGAGGAGCGAAAGCGUGGGGAGCAAACAGG